CUUGGAUGAGCAAAGCUUAUAUGGCAUGCCUUCAUUAGUCUAGAACAGUGAAUAUUGUUGCUCCUAUACAUGCAGCCCAUAGAUUACCCUGAUUUGGCCAAUGAACUGCUGCCACAUAAAACUUUGAGGCUAUUUCUUGUCUAAGCAAAACGACUUUGCUACUUGCAAAGGUAGCAAUGGGAAAAGUAGCACUUGCUAAACUAAACUUGACGGGAGAAAGUAAAGAAGCAUAAUUGCAUCAAAUUUACAGAUAAAAGG
rnacentral:lncRNA from 1 species